GCCGAGCUUCGUAACGUGGGCUUGUAACUUGAAUGAGGGCAUUAAUGUGGUGGAAUGUUGGGCUGAUCCAGAAGGUUGGACUUUGUGGGCUAUUCACUGGCCUGCCCUAUCCAAGCAUAGAGUUGGGCCAUGUAGCCCAAGCGAAUGCAUGGGCCGCUUGGCUCUUAAAGUGGGGUGGACCGCGUGAGGCUGGUUUCACAGAGCAACGAAUAACUUCCGCUCUAUGUAGUGGAAGGAUCAUGGGUCAGUGCUCACUGAGUCCAACAAAAGCCUGAUAGGCUGCUCCAACUAAACCAUCAUUUUA
rnacentral:SRP_RNA from 2 species